AACUUAAUCUUAAUGGCGGAUUAUUAGGCUCAGUAAUGCCUUCUUGGAAAGGAUUCCUGGAGGGGCCGCCAUAGUGUCUCCACAAUAGCCUGAGAUGGGGCUGUGUAUGGUCGGGUCCUGGUAGGUAUUGUGCUUGGUUUUUGCAGGUGGGCUUAUGGUGGUUGUGUGGUUGUUGUGGUUGGGGAGGCAGCUUUGGCGAUUAGUUUUGCUUUGGUAAUUGCGAAUGUUGUUGUUGAAUGUUUGCAUGUAUGUGCGUAAUGUUGAUCGUGUCGAAUGGAGUUGCUAAGAGUGCUUGUGCUGAAUUGAUAAUAACACCAUAUGUUCAAUAUAAAUGUGACCUAAUAUAAAUCACUUUACAAAUAUUUCUCCCUCCUUCAUCUUCACUAAGACCCGAGCUCACACGAGGCACAGAACAACCAGAAUUCGCGUGAGAAAGGCGAGGUCACAGCCGAGAAAUGUUCAGCGGAAUAUAAGGAAAAGGGAUACGUGUCUUUCCCAGGGAUUUCAUUUCCUCGUGACGCAGGCGUUUGCGGGAAGGCGAGGCGGCCGUGUAUGCUGUUGCGGCGUUGAGAGAUGAAGGAACGGGGGCGGAGCGAGAAGGCUGCGGCGACGGUUCUCUCUCUUGGCCGAAGCCAAGUUGUUCCUUCCCGCCGAUCCCCCCAUGGGGCCCCUUGGAACCCUCCUCCUGGUCCUCCUCCUUCCGCCUGUGUUCGUCAUGCUCAACUUGUUGAUCAACAAAAAAGGGGAAUUAACGAAUGUGAGGAGACUGAGACGAAGGAGGAGAAAGAGAAGAAGAAAUUACAUUAAGAAACACAAGCACUCCAGCAGCAUUACGAAAAAUUACCCUUGAAAUCCUCGUUUUCUUCAGGCCUUGGCGUCGCCGUGGACGGUGGCUACCAGCGGCGUGCAGGAAGGUUGUCACGUGCAAUGAGAAAGAAAAUAUCAGCACAUCAAUUCAAUACAUCAAAGAAAACACAAUCAACAUGCACAAAUUGUCUCACACACCUUGCUAUUCGCUGUGGACGUGCCUUAUAUGUAGUACCUGAAGUGUGAAGAAGGUGAAUCGUGAAGAUAAAGUGAGAUCGAUUUUUUUUCUGUGUAUCUGUAAAUCUCUUUACUGUAGAAGGAGGGAGAAAAAUAAAUAUAUUUUCUAGAGUAUUAUGUUGAAUCUUGUGUGUGUGUGCGGCUCCCACCUCCAGCCUCCGCUGUUCUGCGUUUAAGAGCUUUACUUCUCUUAGAAAUAAUUGAUGUGUCUACACGAAUGACAACUCAAAGGCUGUAAUUUGUAAUGUAUGGCAAAAAUAUAUAUUGUUAUCGCAA